CGUUAUUCGGAAUCAUUGGGCGUAAAGAGCGAGUAGGCGGCGACGUAAGUUGGAAGUGAAAUCCCAUCGGCUCAACCGUGGAAUCGCUCCCAGUACUGCGUUGCUCGAGGGAGAUAGGGGCCUGUGGAACUGCCGGUGGAGCGGUGAAAUGUGUUGAUAUCGGCGGGAACGCCAGUGGCGAAAGCGACAGGCUGGACCUUUUCUGACGCUGAGGCGCGAAAGCUAGGGGAGCAAACGGG
rnacentral:rRNA from 1 species